AUAUUGAAAACCUCAACUACAUGUACGGUAAUCAACAGGCCAGCCUCAGUGCGUCAUAACAUCACAAUUAAACCACGUGAUAAGACAACCAAGCCACGAACCAUUUCAUCGUACACGAUACCACCGACAGUAAAGUGGCCGAAUAUUGUAAAUCGAACAGGAAUAGUUCCAGCAUCUUCGGAGCCACACUCGGGUUACAAUAUUAUCAUUUCUGUAACCGUUGUUGUGGUACUAAUGGCAGUAGGUGUUUCUCUUGUCAUCGGUUUAGUGUUAAGACAGAAUGGCGCAGCCUGCUGGACAAGCAAAGGAAACGCUGGUGAAGAUUGCGGGGCCACAAUGAGUAACCCAACGUAUGAAAAUUGUCAGCAUGUUUCUUCAGUGAUCUACGACGAUUUACCCGGAACGAUAUAG